rnacentral:rRNA from 1 species
CGAAGCAACGCGAAGAACCUUACCAGGCCUUGACAUGCAGAGAACUUUCCAGAGAUGGAUUGGUGCCUUCGGGAACUCUGACACAGGUGCUGCAUGGCUGUCGUCAGCUCGUGUCGUGAGAUGUUGGGUUAAGUCCGUAACGAGCGCAACCCUUGUCCUUAGUUACCAGCACGUUAUGGUGGGCACUCUAAGGAGACUGCCGGUGACAAACCGGAGGAAGGUGGGGAUGACGCCAAGUCAUCAUGGCCCUUACGGCCUGGGCUACACACGUGCUACAAUGGUCGGUACAAAGGGUUGCCAAGCCGCGAGGUGGAGCUAAUCCCAUAAAACCGAUCGUAGUCCGGAUCGCAGUCUGCAACUCGACUGCGUGAAGUCGGAAUCGCUAGUAAUCGUGAAUCAGAAUGUCACGGUGAAUACGUUCCCGGGCCUU